CCGACGGUGAGGGGCGAAAGCUGGGGGCACGAACCGGAUUAGAUACCCGGGUAGUCCCAGCCGUAAACGAUGCUCGCUAGGUGUCUGGGAUGGUGCGACCGUUUCAGGUGCCGCAGGGAAGCCGUGAAGCGAGCCACCUGGGAAGUACGGCCGCAAGGCUGAAACUUAAAGGAAUUGGCGGGGGAGCACUACAACGGGUGGAGCCCGCGGUUUAAUUGGACUCAACGCCGGAAAACUCACCUGGGGC
rnacentral:rRNA from 1 species